CGGCGCCAACUUGGUUGAGGGCAAGUCCGUGCCUGUCCGGAGGCUGGGGCAGGGCCAUCCAGAGGUCCCCGGGCUAGGAUCUGCGGAGACAGAGAGAAAACUCUCAUAUUCCUUCUAGCCCCAAAGAAAAAUACCAUCUAAGAUCCCAAGGGAAGAAAACAAACAGUCCGACCCAGAUGAAACGCCCAUGAACAAUGACAGUGAGAAGCAAGAUGAGUACAGGCAGAACCCCCUCCCGAGAAAAAGCUUCUCUUUAUAGCAGACGGAAACCAUCACAGAAGGACCACAACUGGAGACAAGGAAGAGAACAACAGAUCGUGUGGCCCAGGCCCCAAAGGACACAUCUACAUGUCAGCUGCAUCUAGGGACCAGGGAACAUCUCUGAAGAGGGUGUGGAUGAAACAGCUGUCCCCUUUUAUAACAGGACAGAACCUAACAGGGCCAGUUGUUGGUUUGUUUGUUUGUUUGUUUGUUUGUUUGUUUAUUUUUGCUUUUUUCCAGGGACCAGUUUGCUAAGACCUCUGCCCCAUAUCACCCCACUAUCCUUUGUUGAUGCAUGUCUGGCUUCAAUCAGACCCUCAAGAAGUAUGUCUAGUCUGGUAGCCAAUCCUACCCAGCCACAAGCAGGACCUGUUCUUGCUAUUUUCAGCCAAAAAGACCCCUGACACUUGCAACCACAGUUGGUGACCAGAUGUCAUGAGCCAAUCAUAAAACGAUUUUUGUACCAGUAAGGGUCUAGACCCAAUCACUUCAAAGUACACUUAACCACAGCUGAAAUUCCCCUAAUCCUGUUCAAAGGGAGCCUACAAGCUUCUCUCUCAGGAUCUCUAUUGGCCACUUUGUCAUAUGGUUUGACCCCAGCAUGCUGGAAUUUUUUGUUAAACACUCUUGCUGAUUGCAUAUGUGUCUGGUGGCCUUUUGUGGGACUUCUCGAGGACCAUAACAUGGAAGGGUACUAAAAGCCAGAAUACCAGGAAUUCUGCUGUGAAACUUUCUCUGCUAUAAACAGUUGAAUUAACAAGAUGGGGGGAAAAACUGGAAAUAUCCAUGGACAUGUUAACACGGAACGGGAAAUUUAUGUAGAGUCCCACCCCUGAGCAACGACCACAGCAAACUAAGGCGUGCAUGGAGAAGGAGAAAUAACCCCAUCCAGGGAAGAGUGACACCCUGAUUGGCUGUUCAGUGCAGAAUGGACAGCCCUGAAAACAUCUAUACACACACAAGAAAAGGGAACUCAUCAGGUUGUGUGCGUGUGUGUGUACAUCAUAUACAUAUGCAGAUAUCAAUAGUAAUCAAAGUAAAAGGCUAUAAACUUGGG